GUGAAUCAUCGAAUUUUUGAACGCAAAUUGCACUCUCCUCGGAUAGUAUGACUGUUUGUGUGUCAGCCUAUAAAAAUUGACAUCGUUACUGUUUCGCGGUGUUGUUCGUCGGAAAUUGGGUCAUCUUAAAUCCUUUUGAUUUAAGCGACUUAAAAUUUUCUUUUUGUUUCCAUGAACGUUUCUAAGAUUUAUUUCUUUACACGUUUAAGUUAUCGAUUUUUACUAGACGUGACUAUCAUAUCGGAUCUCGUCCAUUAUCUUUCAUUAACUGACCUCAAA
rnacentral:misc_RNA from 1 species